GGUUGAUCCUGCCAGUAGUCAUAUGCUUGUUUCAAAGAUUAAGCCAUGCAUGUCUAAGUAUAAACAUCUUUAUACAGUAAAACUGCGUACAGCUCAUUAUAUCAGUAAUUCUUUCUUUGAUGGUUCCUUUACUACAUGGAUAACCGUAGUAAUUCUAGAGCUAAUACAUGCCUAAAAUCUCGACUCGCGAGAGGAGAGAUGGAUUUAUUAGAUACCGAACCGAUACAGUCCUCACGGGUUGUUCUAUUGGUGAUUCAUGAUAACUUUACGGAGCGCAUGACUUUAUGUUG
rnacentral:rRNA from 1 species